GUAGUUUUAGUUUAAUACUAUAUAGUAAAUACAAAAUUUUAUUUAAAGUUUUUAAUUGUAAAAAAUAUUUCAUUACUAUGAUUAAUAAAAUUUUCUGCUAAGGUGCAUUUUUUCUUGAUUUGCAUAAUUUAUUAGUUGAUUCCAGACAAAUAAAUUGUUAAUGGAAUAAUGUUUUUGAUAAGUGAACUAGUAUGGGCAAAUAAACACAAUGAUGAUAAAAUUGGACUGAAUAGGAUUCCUAAAAAUGAAAAAGUUUUCUAUUCAACAGUAUAUAUGAUGGAAUGCUAAAAAUUCUUUCCCUUGCUAUGUUGUAUGUGUGUUAUAGAUCUGUAAUCGUAAACAAUGAUAACUUACUAUUUUAUUGAUAUGCAUGUCAUUUUUUGUUUUGACAGGUCCAGUUAACCAGAGUUAGGAAUGUGAUAGUAGAUGUCAUAAAAGCUGGGCAAAAUUUAAUAUCAAGCCAUGAUACAAUUCCCUCAUCUUCAAGAGAAAACUGCACAAAUGAUCUAUGAAGAGAUGUCAGCAGUGUAUGUUGAGGAAUGUCUAUCAUAUGAAAACUGGAAUGAUGGAAACAGAAAUUUAGAUGUAGUUGCCAUCAGCCUACAGGAUGACUCAAGAGAAGGCCAUCCAACAAGAUUAUAUCUGUUUUGGGAUAGCAAAGGUGUCAUAUUUAUAGAUUACAUAUAAAAAAGGUCUACAAUAACAGAGGCAUG
rnacentral:lncRNA from 1 species